CCGAGUUUACAACUCCCAAACCCAAUGUGAACCAUACCAAACUGUUGCCUCGGCGGGGUCACGCCCCGGGUGCGUCGCAGCCCCGGAACCAGGCGCCCGCCGGAGGGACCAACCAAACUCUUUCUGUAGUCCCCUCGCGGACGUUAUUUCUUACAGCUCUGAGCAAAAAUUCAAAAUGAAUCA
rnacentral:misc_RNA from 3 species